UCAGACGAUGCGUCAUGCAUAUCAAUAAGCGGAGGAAAAGAAACUAACAAGGAUUCCCUUAGUAACGGCGAGUGAAGCGGGAAGAGCUCAAAUUUGAAAUCUUCAAGGUUUUACCUUGACGAAUUGUAGCUUAAAGAAGUGUUUUCUGCUGAAGUUUUGGUAAAAGUUCUUUGGAAUAGGACAUCAUAGAGGGUGAGAAUCCCGUAUUUGACCAUUAUUUUCAGCUUUGUGAUACACUUUCAAAGAGUCGGAUUGUUUGGGAAUGCAGUCCAAAAUGGGUGGUAAAUUUCAUCUAAAGCUAAAUAUUGGCGAGAGACCGAUAGCGAACAAGUACCGUGAGGGAAAGAUGAAAAGAACUUUGAAAAGAGAGUUAAACAGUACGUGAAAUUGUCAAAAGGGAAGCGUUUGACACCAGUGUUGUUUUCUCGAAAAUCAAUUAAAAAUGGCUCGAUUUUGUAUUGCUUGAGACCUUAAAAGCUCACUGUACAUUUUUCGUGUCUUUUUUAAUGCACUUUUCGUUUAACAAGUCAACAUCAGUUUCUUUUGUUGUAAAAGGGUCAUUGGAAGGUGGCUUUCUUUUCGGAGAAAGUGUUUAUAGCCUUUGGCCUCUGCAAUCGGAGAGACUGAGGUCUGCAGCGUAGACUCUUCGGGGUUAGAUACAUUUGUGCUAAGUUAUAGCUUUUUAUAGACAACUUGUUGACUAUAAUUAGUCUUGUAGCUUACUCGCUUAUGCUAUUUUACCUACGCUUAGGAUGUUGAACUACUGAGACAUAGA
rnacentral:rRNA from 1 species